AGUGGGGAAUAUUGGACAAUGGGGGCAACCCUGAUCCAGCCAUGCCGCGUGUGUGAAGAAGGCCUUUUGGUUGUAAAGCACUUUAAGCAGGGAGGAGAGGCUAAUGGUUAACACCCAUUAGAUUAGACGUUACCUGCAGAAUAAGCACCGGCUAACUCUGUGCCAGCAGCCGCGGUAAUACAGAGGGUGCGAGCGUUAAUCGGAAUUACUGGGCGUAAAGCGAGUGUAGGUGGCUCAUUAAGUCACAUGUGAAAUCCCCGGGCUUAACCUGGGAACUGCAUGUGAUACUGGUGGUGCUAGAAUAUGUGAGAGGGAAGUAGAAUUCCAGGUGUAGCGGUGAAAUGCGUAGAGAUCUGGAGGAAUACCGAUGGCGAAGGCAGCUUCCUGGCAUAAUAUUGACACUGAGAUUCGAAAGCGUGGGUAGCAAA
rnacentral:rRNA from 1 species